GAUGAACGCUAGCGGCAGGCUUAAUAUAUGCAAGUUGAGGGGCAGCAUGAUAUACGCGAGUAUAUUGAUGGCGACCGGCGGACGGGUGAGUAAUAGGUAGGAGACCUACCUCAUACAGGGGGAUAGCAUAGAGAAAUCUGUGGUAAUACCCCAUGAGGUUAUAUGAAUAGAGGCAUAUAAUCAAAGCAUAAGCGAUUAUGCGGUAUGAGAGGGGCCUACUGACCAUUAGCUAGUUGGUGAGGUAAGGGCUCACCAAGGCGAAGAUGGUUAGGGGUUUUGAGAGAGAGACCCCCCACAUUGGAACUGAGAGACGGUCCAGACUCCUACGGGAGGCAGCAGUAGGGAAUAUUGGGCAAUGGGCGAAAGCCUGACCCAGCCAUGCCGCGUGAAGGAAGACGGCCUUAGGGUUGUAAACUUCUUUACACGCGAAUAGAGGUUAGUACGAGAUACUAAUAGGAAGUAGUGUAGUAAAAGCACCGGCUAACUCCGUAG
rnacentral:rRNA from 1 species